AGAGCGAACGCUGGCGGCAGGCUUAACACAUGCAAGUCGAACGAACCCUUCGGGGUUAGUGGCGGACGGGUGAGUAACACGUGGGAACGUGCCCUUAGGUUCGGAACAACGCAGGGAAACUUGUGCUAAUACCGGAUGUGCCCCUCACGGGGGAAAGAUUUAUCGCCUUUGGAGCGGCCCGCGUCUGAUUAGCUUGUUGGUGAGGUAAAGGCUCACCAAGGCUACGAUCAGUAGCU
rnacentral:rRNA from 1 species